UCCUACGGGAGGCAGCAGUGGGGAAUUUUCCGCAAUGGGCGAAAGCCUGACGGAGCAAUACCGCGUGAGGGAAGACGGCCUAUGGGUUGUAAACCUCUUUUUUCAGGGAGGAAUUUUGACGUGUACCUGAAGAAUAAGCAUCGGCUAACUCCGUGCCAGCAGCCGCGGUGAGACGGAGGAUGCAAGUGUUAUCCGGAAUCACUGGGCGUAAAGCGUCUGUAGGUGGUUAAGCAAGUCAACUGUUAAAUCUUGAGGCUCAACUUCAAAAUCGCAGUCGAAACUGUUUGACUAGAGUAUAGUAGGGGUAAAGGGAAUUUCCAGUGGAGCGGUGAAAUGCGUAGAUAUUGGAAAGAACACCGAUGGCGAAGGCACUUUACUGGGCUAUUACUGACACUCAGAGACGAAAGCUAGGGUAGCAAAUGGGAUUAGAUACCCCAGUAGUCCUAGCCGUAAACAAUGGAUACUAGAUGUUGAACAGAUCGACCUGUGCAGUAUCAAAGCUAACGCGUUAAGUAUCCCGCCUGGGAAGUAUGCCCGCAAGAAUGAAACUCAAAGGAAUUGACGGA
rnacentral:rRNA from 1 species